rnacentral:rRNA from 2 species
UACGAAGGGGGCUAGCGUUGCUCGGAAUCACUGGGCGUAAAGGGUGCGUAGGCGGGUCUUUAAGUCAGGGGUGAAAUCCUGGAGCUCAACUCCAGAACUGCCUUUGAUACUGAGGAUCUUGAGUUCGGGAGAGGUGAGUGGAACUGCGAGUGUAGAGGUGAAAUUCGUAGAUAUUCGCAAGAACACCAGUGGCGAAGGCGGCUCACUGGCCCGAUACUGACGCUGAGGCACGAAAGCGUGGGGAG